rnacentral:rRNA from 1 species
UACGUAGGGUGCAAGCGUUGUCCGGAAUUAUUGGGCGUAAAGAGCUCGUAGGCGGUCUGUCACGUCGGCUGUGAAAACCUGGGGCUCAACCCCGGGCCUGCAGCCGAUACGGGCAGACUAGAAUUCGGUAGGGGAGACUGGAAUUCCUGGUGUAGCGGUGAAAUGCGCAGAUAUCAGGAAGAACACCGAUGGCGAAGGCAGAUCUCUGGGCCGUAACUGACGCUGAGGAGCGAAAGCAUGGGGAGCGAACAGG